rnacentral:snRNA from 1 species
UUCUCUUUGGAGACUUCUGAUAAAAUUGGAACAAUACAGAGAAGAUUAGCAUGGCCCUUAUGGAAGGAUGACACACACAAAUCUAGAAAUGGUCAAAUUUUUU